CCUACGGGUGAGCAGCAGUGAGGAAUAUUGGUCAAUGGACGCAAGUCUGAACCAGCCAUGCCGCGUGCAGGAAGACGGCUCUAUGAGUUGUAAACUGCUUUUGUACGAGGGUAAACGCAGAUACGUGUAUCUGUCUGAAAGUAUCGUACGACUAAGGAUCGGCUAACUCCGUGCCAGCAGCCGCGGUAAUACGGAGGAUUCAAGCGUUAUCCGGAUUUAUUGGGUUUAAAGGGUGCGUAGGCGGUCGGAUAAGUUAGAGGUGAAAUCCCGAGGCUCAACUUCGGAAUUGCCUCUGAUACUGUUCAGCUAGAGAGUAGUUGCGGUAGGCGGAAUGUAUGGUGUAGCGGUGAAAUGCUUAGAGAUCAUACAGAACACCGAUUGCGAAGGCAGCUUACCAAGCUACUUCUGACGUUGAGGCACGAAAGCGUGGGGAGUAAACAGGAUUAGAUACCCUUGUAGUC
rnacentral:rRNA from 1 species